UACGUAGGUGGCGAGCGUUGUCCGGAUUUAUUGGGCGUAAAGCGCGCGCAGGCGGUUCGCUACGUCCGGUGUGAAAGCUCCCGGCUCACCUGGGAGGGGGCGCUGGAGACUGGCGAACUGGAGGCAGGGAGAGGACGGUGGAAUUCCCGGUGUAGUGGUGAAAUGCGUAGAGAUCCGGAGGAACACCAGUGGCGAAGGCGGCUGGCUGGACCUGACCUGACGCUGAGGCGCGAAGGCGUGGGGAGCGAACGGG
rnacentral:rRNA from 1 species